rnacentral:rRNA from 1 species
UACGAAGGGGGCUAGCGUUGCUCGGAAUUACUGGGCGUAAAGCGCGCGUAGGCGGUUUGUUAAGUGGGAUGUGAAAUCCCCGGGCUUAACCUGGGAAUUGCAUUUCAAACUGGCCGACUAGAGUACGGUAGAGGGAGGUAGAAUUUCCUGUGUAGCGGUGAAAUGCGUAGAUAUAGGAAGGAAUACCAGUGGCGAAGGCGGCCUCCUGGAUCGAUACUGACGCUGAGGCGCGAAAGCGUGGGGAGCAAACAGG